CAAACCAAAAAAAAAAACCCCAUUACUUGAAAUAUUUUCCCCAUCCAAAUGUACUGUCUGAGAACGGUAAUUAUUCCCCACAAGAAAAAGCUCAAUAAAACAUUAAAAGGGAUUCAUUAAGAAAAGAAAAUAAUAUUUGAGUACGUGUUGUCUUACAGUAUACAUAAGACAGGGUUCUAUAUGUUGGACUCAGCUGCAAAUUAUACAGAAAGAUAUUUUAAAACAAGGUGCAAUGUAUAUUAUUUAUAAUGGUUGCCAUUAAGAAAUGACUGUUUAUAAGUGCUGACUGCAUUAGCAUGUAUAUUCAAAAAAGCCUAAUGUUCCAUUUAAAAAAAAUUUGAUCUAGCAAUCACACUCUUCAGCAUUUUUCCCACAGAAAUGAAAACUUAGGUCCACAGAAAAACCCGUACACAAAUGUUCAUAGCAACACUAUUUGUAAAAACAAAAUAACCCAAAUGUCCUUCAAUGGACAAAUGGCUAGGCUGUGGUAUACCUGCAUCAUGGAAUACUACUCAGCAGUAAAAAGUAACAAACUGCUGAUACUCAGGACUCAAUGCAUACUCAAUACUCAAUGGAUCUCAAGGGCAUUAUGCUGAGUGAAAAAAGCCAAUCUCAAAAGGUUACAGAUUGCAUGAUUCCAUUUAUAUAGUAUUCUCAAAAUGAGAUCAGAUUAGUGGCUACCAGCAGUUAGGGGCUUGCUAUAAAGGGGUAGCAAAGGGAAAGCCUUGGGGUGAUGAAUCGAUCCUGUAUUUUUUUUCUUCUUGAGACAGGGUCUCCCUCUGCUGCCCAGGCUACAGUACAAUGGCACCAUCAUCGCUCACUGCAGCCUCAACCUCCUGGGCUCAAGUGAUGCUCCCACCUCAGCCUCCUGAGUAGCUGGGACUACAGAUGCAUGCCAUCACACCUGGCUGAUUUUUGUACUUUUUGUAGAGAUGGGGUUUUGCCAUGUUGCCCAGACUGGUCUCAAACUCCUGGGCUCAAGCGAUCCUCCUGCCUCAGCCUCCCAAAAGGCUGGGAUUACAGGUGUGAACCACUAUGCCCAGCCAAUUCUGUAUCUUGAUUGUGGUAGUGGUAACACAAAUCUACACGUGAUCAAAUUGUACAGAACUAUGGACACGCUUCACCAAUGAGUGCAUGUAAAACAGGGAAAUCUGGGAAUAAGCUCUGUGGGUGACUCAGAUUUAUGGCAAUUUUCUGGGUUUUUGGGGAAAACUGAGUAGAGGGUAAACAGGACCUCUCCGUACUACUUUUUUAACUUCCUGUGAGUCUGUAAUCAUUUAAAAACAAAAAGUUUUUUAAAAGUUUGUGAAGAGGGUUGCCCAUUUAGGAGACAUAAACCAUUUUUCCUAACCUAAGUGAAGGUACAAGCACGUAAAGGGGAAAGAUGCAAAUGGAUGGCUAGAGAGGAGAAGACUGCCAGAAUAAUAGUGAGCAAGCAGUUAUCACGUCCCAGGUACUAGAGCCUAUCUCAUUUAACUCAACAGACAAUCCAAUGAGGUGGCUGCUGAUAAAUAUCCUUACUUUUCAGAUGAGGACACCGAAGGAUGGAGAAGACAAGAAAUUCAUUCAACUUCAGCUGGUAAAUAGCCAAGGUGUCAAAGUUAAGAAAAGUAAUACAAUUUCAAAGCAAAAAGGGUUAAGAAAAAGCACUACUGGCCAGGCAUGGUGGCUCACGCCUGUAAUCCUACCACUUUGGGGGGCCGAGGCGGGUGGAUCACCUUAGGUCAGGAGUUCAAGACCAGCCUGGCCAACAUGGUGAAACCCUGUCUCCACUAAAAAUACAAAAACCAGCUGAGUGUGGCAGCAGGUGCCUGUAAUCCCAGCUACUUGGGAGGCUGAGGCAGGAGAAUCACUUGAACCCGGGAGGCGGAGGAUGCGGUGAGCCGAGAUUGUGCCAUUGCACUCCAGCCUGGGCAACAACAGCGAAACUCUGUCUCAAAAAACUAAAUAAAUAAAUAAAAUAAAUAAAUAAAUAAAUUGCAUAUUUUAACAGUAUGUGAACAAACAGAGGCUAUUAUAGCAUAAAUUCAAUGCAAGUAAAUGGGUAUUUAAAAGGAAAUUUGCUGUUCUGGUUAUAAAGUUUUUGAGACAGGGCUAGUAUCUCACUUAAUUUUAAAGAUCAAGUGAAACCCCAAGAAAAGACAAUAUUUAAAACAUCAAGAGUAUUAAUCAUCCUUUUAAGUCAUCAACAGUCAAGUAAUCCACUUAAUGUGCUGCUUGAAGAAAAUAGAAUAAGCACUGUCCAUUCUGCCUUUAGGUUCAUCUCUGAUAUCAGGGGUAUUCUUUCCUCUGAAGUCAUCUUCUUAAAAACAAAUGCAAAAUCAACAUGUUGGUUUUCUUAGAAGCUUUGUAAAGUCCCAAUGCAGGAAAUUACACGUAAGAAUGUUACUUGACCUUCAGAAAUCCCUCACAGAAGAUCUGAGUGGAACAGCUCCACCACCACAUUCCCAUCCGUGGCUUCGGCUAGUGGCGAAAUCUGAAAAAUAAUUCUUCUUGUGAUAUGUCCUUGGAAUUUCUUCCUCACGUACAAAGCUUAAGAGUUAAUUAAGGUAAAAAAGCAACAAUAUAUAGUUAGAGAUCGGCCAUACAGUCAUUAUCAAUCUUUCGGCCUCGAAGAACUCAAAUAGGAGAUUAUUUCUUCCAACUAAGACCCUCAGACAGCAGAUUUUGAUAAAAGCUGUAACCCAGGCCAUUCUGCUGGUGGACAGAAUCUCUCCCUAAUUGCUGGGAGAGUAUACCAAGGAACUGUAUUUUCACUAAAGCCACAUUUUAAUUCAUGAUAAACACAACUUCUGGAAAUUUUUACAACUAAAUAUUCUUAAAUAGAAAGGCUUUUAAGAUAUGAAAAUGGUAUUAUGGUUAUGCUUUGAAAAAAGUUUUUUCCUUUUGAAUAUACUGAAAUAUUUAUAGUGAUUUAAUAUGUGGGAUUUACUUCAAAAUAACAUGGUGGUGGGGGGAGUGGGUAGAAGUUUUAACACGAUUGGCCACAAAUUUAUAAAGCUGGGUGGUGGGGACAUGAUUAAUUACACUAUUUUGUCUUCUUUAAGCUUAAAAAUUUCCAACAUAAAAAAUUGUGCAUAUCCUUGCAUGAGAUAUAAAAUAUACCCAUGCAGGCUGGGCGCUGUGGCUCACCCCUGUAAUCCCAGCAUUUUAGGAGGCCGAGUCGGGCAGAUCACAAGGUCAGGAGUUCGAGACCAGCCUUGCCAACAUGGUGAAACCCUGUCUCUACUAAAAACACAAAAAUGAGCCAGUUGUGGUGGCGAGCGCCUGUAAUCCCAGCUACUUGGGAGGCUGAGGCAGGAGAAUCGCUUGAACCCGGGAGGCAGAGGUUACAGUGAGCCAAGACUGUGCCAUUGCACUCCAGCUUAAGCAACAAGAGCAAAACUCCAUCUCAAAUAAAUAAAUAAAUAAAUAAAUAAAAAUAAAAAUAAAAUAUACCCAUGUAACAAGAAAUUCUGAGACUGAGGCAGAAAUCCAGAUUCUUAAAUGCUUUUGCUACUGCAUAAUCCCAGGCAAAUCAUCUCACCUAAUAAAAAGUUUCCUAUUUCUAAAAUCCACUGCUAAAGCAUGAUGAUUUCUAAGGUUGCUUCCAGGUCUAAUAUUUUUACUCUGAGAAUGCUGUUUUGUUUUUUUCUGAAUUGAGUUUUAGUUCAUCUUUUGUUAGCUGUCUACAGUAGCUGACUCUAUAUUGAAAAGGCACAGGUGUCUCAGACAAGUGUGAUCUCAAAGCAGCUCUUUAGGACUGCUGGUGCCACACCCACCAUCAUCCCUCACUAAAGGAAAUACAGAAAAAGGAAGGGAGGCAACUCUGGUGACAGAUACACCUCUAUUUUUCGUGAGAAUGCUCACGCCUCUGAAAUCUGCUUACGUAUUAUUAAGAGUCACAUAUCACAUGAAAUGUAAAAUGGCUGGGCACGGUGGCUCACCCCUGUAAUCCCAGCACUUUGGGAGACCGAGGUGGGUGGAUCACUUGAGGUUGGGAGUUUGAGACCAGCCUGACCAACAUGGUGAAACCCCGUCUGUACCACAAAUACAAAAAUUAGCUGGGCAUGGUGGAGAGCACCUGUAAUCCCAGCUACUCAAGAGGCUGAGGCAGGAGAAUUGCUCACACCUGGGAGGUGGAGGUUGCGAUGAGCUGAGAUCGCACCACUGCACUCCAGCCUGGGCAACAGAGCAAGACUCUGUCUCAAAAAAAAAAAAAAAAAAAAAAAAGAAAGUAAAAUGGGCAGACCUUUCUGAAUACAUGAUCGACAAUUUUCAUAAAUGUCUUCUGAAGACUGCUUAUCACAGUAUUGUUUACAACUGAUUUGAUACCUCAAUUGCCAUCAAUAAGGGAUUGGUUAAAUUAUAGUAGAGUACAUUCUUACAAUGGAAUACCAUGCAGAUAUUUAAAAAAUUAAGAUAUAAACCCACGAUGAUAGGGAUAUGGCAAGGGGGCACAGGAACCAACUGAAAUAGCUCCCAACGACAAAAGCUAGAACAAUCUGAGCAAUAAAUAAAGUAGCAUUGGAUUAUAACCCAGGGUAUAUUCAUGAGUAUAUACAGAUAUAAAUGUUGAAUAAAGAAAUGGAGGAGAUAGAUACAGCUCCUGUACAGAACUCCAAAUCAUCUACAUAGAUAUUCUGCCCUCAAGGAGGUAGGCAUAACUUCCCACUCCUGAAGCGUGGGCUGCCUUCCCAAGAGGGAAGCACAGAAACAGGUAAGAAGGAGGAACUCUGCAGUGGUGAAGCUGGGCAAACACGACCCCAGCAGAGUGACUAAGGUCAACAUCAACACUGAUGAGUCAUGUUGACUGUAUAUACCUCUGAAAUGAUGUGAUGAAAAUGGCCUGCUGCCUCUGUGAUCUCCCUCCCUGAAACUCCUAACCCCAGCAUAACCAUGAGAAAAACAACAGACGAAUCUCAACUGAGCAACAUUCUACAAAAUAUCUGACUGGUGAACUGAAAACUGUCAAGGUCAUUUAAAAAAAAAAAAAGAAGUCUUAGAAACAUCACAGCCGGCUGGGUGUGGUGGCUCACGCCUGUAAUCCCAGGACUUUGGGAGGCCAAGGUGGGCGGAUCACUAGGUCAGGAGAUCGAGACCCUCCUGGCUAACACAGUGAAACCCCGUCUCUACUAAAAAUACAAAAAAUUAGCUGGGUGUGGUGGUGGGCACCUGUAGUCUCAGCUACUCGGGAGGCUGAGCCAGGAGAAUGGCGUGAACCCAGGAGGCAGAGGUUGCAGUGAGCCGAGAUCGCGCCACUGCACCCCAGCCUGGGCGACAGAGAGAGACUCUGUCUCAAAAAAAAAAAAAGAAACUGUCACAGCCAAUGACUGAAAUCUGAAUAAAGUAUGAAAUUUUGGUAAUAAUAAUAAUAAUGUAUUGAUAUUGGUUCAUUAAUUUUAGCAAAUGUAUGACAUGAAUGUAAAAUGUUAAUAGGAGAAACUGGCAACAGGUGCACUGGCUUCCACCUGUAGUCUCAGCACUUUGAGGGGUCACGGUGGGUGGAUCACUUAAGUCCAGGAGUUUGAGAACUGCCUGAGCAACAUAGCAGGACCCCGCCUUUACAAAAAAAUAGAAAAAUUUGCCAUGCAUGGUGGCGUGCGCCUAUAGUACCAGCUACUUGGGAGGCUGAGGUGGAAGGACUGCUUGAGCCUGAGAAUCGAGGCUGCAGUGAGCUGAGUUCGUACCACUGCACUCCAGCCUGAGUAACAGAGUAAGAGCCUGUCUCAAAAAAAAAAAAAAAAAGUGGGCCGGGUGUGGUGGCUCGCGCCUGUAACCCCAGCACUUUGGGAGGCGGAGGCGGGCAGAUCACCAGGUCAGGAGUGCGAGACCAGGCUUACCAACAUGGUGAAACCCCGUCUCUACUAAAAAUACAAAAAUUAGCCGGGUGUGGUGGGGUAUGCCUGUAAUCUCAGCUACUGGGGAGGCUGAGCUUGCGGUGAGCCAAGAUCGCACCAUUGCACUCCAGCCUGGGCGACAGAGCAAGCCUCCAUUUCAAAAUUAAGGAAAAAAAAAAAAGAAACUAGAUGUGGAGUAUACAGGAGCUCUAUUAAUCUUUGCAACUUUUCUAUAAAUCUAAAACUUUUCUUAAAAACAGUUCAUUUUUAAAAAUGGGGAAAAGGCCGGAUGCAGUGGCUCACACCUGUAACCCUAGCACUUUGGGGGGCUGAGGAGGGCGGAUCACCUGAGGUUGGGAGUUCAAGACCAACAUGGAGAAACCCCAUAUCUACUAAAAAUACAAAAUUAGCCAGGCGUGGUGGCGCAUGCCUGUAGUCCCAGCUACUCGGGAGGCUGAAACAGGAGAAUCGCUUAAACCCAGGAGGUGGAGGCUGCGGUGAGCCGAGAUCGCGCCACUGCACUCCAGCUUGGGCAACAAGAGCGAAACUCCGUCUCAAAAAAAAUAAAUAAAUAAAGGAAAAAAUUUUGAAUGAAGAUAUAAAUGUAUAAUGACAUAGAAUAAUGGCCAAAAUAUAAUAAAUGAAAUUAGAAUUAAAAACAACAUGCCUAUUAUAAAUCUAUUUGUAUUUUAAAAACAUGUGUAUGUGUCUAUACACCAAAAAGUCAGCGAAACUAUACAUCAAAAUGUUAACCUCUGGGUGGUAGAACUACUAGUCAUUUUCACUGCUCUCUUCUUUAUACCUUUCUGUAUUACCUGAUUUUCUAUUACCACUAAGCACUGAUUGCUCUUAACACUGAACCUCAUUACUUCUACAACCAGGAACAAAGAUAUGUUAUUUUGGAAAAGGUGUAUACCACAGGAUAUUGAUAGAGUACUCCUUAGCUCAAAAGAAUGUGCAUUUAUAUGACAGGGCGCGGUGGCUCACACCUGUAAUCCCAGAACUUUGGGAGGCCGAGGCAGGCAGAUCACGAGGUCAGGAGAUCGAGACCAUCCUGGCUAACACGGUGAAACCCCGUCUCUACUAAAAGUACAAAAAAGUUAGCCGGGCGUAGUGGUGGGCACCUUUAGUCCCAGCUACGCAGGAGGCUGAGGCAGGACAAUGGCGUGAACCCGGGAAGGAGAACUUGCAUUGAGCAGAGAUAAUGCCACUGCACUCCAGCCUGGGCGACAAAGCGAGACUCCAUCUCAAAAAAAAAAAGAAAAGAAAAAAGAAUAUGCAUUUAUAAAACAGCCAAAUUUUACUUUUUCAAGGGGAAAUAUUUGAAAAGGCAGUACAGAAAAGUGGUUGAAAGCACAGGAUUUAAUCAGACUUAGAUUAAAAUCCUGGCUUAAUCAUUUACUUUCUGCACGAUCUUGGGUAAUUCCAUCAUAUCCUGCCUCAAUGUCCUAUUUUAUUUUUUUAAUUUUUUUUGAGAUGGAGUUUCGCUCAUUGCCCAGGCUG
rnacentral:lncRNA from 1 species